CAUAUCAAUAAGCGGAGGAAAAGAAACCAACAGGGAUUGCCCUAGUAACGGCGAGUGAAGCGGCAACAGCUCAAAUUUGAAAUCUGGCGUCUUUGGCGUCCGAGUUGUAAUUUGCAGAGGGCGCUUUGGCAUUGGCAGCGGUCCAAGUUCCUUGGAACAGGACGUCACAGAGGGUGAGAAUCCCGUACGUGGUCGCUAGCCUUUACCGUGUAAAGCCCCUUCGACGAGUCGAGUUGUUUGGGAAUGCAGCUCUAAAUGGGAGGUAAAUUUCUUCUAAAGCUAAAUACUGGCCAGAGACCGAUAGCGCACAAGUAGAGUGAUCGAAAGAUGAAAAGCACUUUGGAAAGAGAGUUAAAAAGCACGUGAAAUUGUUGAAAGGGAAGCGCUUGCAGCCAGACUUGCCUGUAGUUGCUCAUCCGGGUUUCUACCCGGUGCACUCUUCUAUAGGCAGGCCAGCAUCAGUUUGGGCGGUUGGAUAAAGGUCUCUGUCAUGUACCUCCUUUCGGGGAGAACUUAUAGGGGAGACGACAUGCAACCAGCCUGCACCGCGGUCCGCGCAUCUGACUAGCAUGCUGGCUCACUGGCCGUAAGCGGUCCGACUAACCCGACGGCUA
rnacentral:rRNA from 1 species